GACGAACGCUGGCGGCGUGCUUAACACAUGCAAGUCGAACGGAAAGGCCCUGCUUUUGUGGGGUGCUCGAGUGGCGAACGGGUGAGUAACACGUGAGUAACCUGCCCUUGACUUUGGGAUAACUUCAGGAAACUGGGGCUAAUACCGGAUAGGAGCUCCUGCUGCAUGGUGGGGGUUGGAAAGUUUCGGCGGUUGGGGAUGGACUCGCGGCUUAUCAGCUUGUUGGUGGGGUAGUGGCUUACCAAGGCUUUGACGGGUAGCCGGCCUGAGAGGGUGACCGGCCACAUUGGGACUGAGAUACGGCCCAGACUCCUACGGGAGGCAGCAGUGGGGAAUAUUGCACAAUGGGCGGAAGCCUGAUGCAGCAACGCCGCGUGCGGGAUGACGGCCUUCGGGUUGUAAACCGUUUUCGCCUGUGACAAAGCGUGAGUGACGGUAAUGGGUAAAGAAGCACCGGCUAACUACGUG
rnacentral:rRNA from 1 species